GUGGGCACAUGCUAGUGUAUUGUGUGGGCACAUGCCUCUACCAUCAUUGGCACGUGCUGGCAUAUGGUUCAGGCACAUGUUUCAACCAUCAUUGGCAUAAGCUAGUCUUUGGUAUAGGCACUUACCUCAACUACUAUCAGCAUAAGCUAGCCUUUGGUAUGGGCAUAAACCUCGAUAACCAUUAACAUAUGCUAGCCCUUGGUGUAGGCAUCUACCUCAUUCAACAUCAAUAAAAGAUGGCCCUUGGUGCAAGCAGUCACCUUAAACACCAUUGGGACAUGCUAGCCCUUUCUAUGAGCACUUGUCUCAAAUACCAUUAGCACAUGCUUGGCCUUAGUGUGGGCACAUGCCUCGACCACUAUUGACACCUAUGAACUCUUAGUGUAGGAUAUGACUAUUUGAAAAUAGUGUCCCUAUUUUAGACACAUUAAUGUUUACUACUACUAUAUAUGUAAAAUCUUUCAUGCUCUUCAGGGGAUGGUUGUUCAAGUCUCAUUCUCCCUCCCAUAAGGGUAGUAGGUGUACGUGAUAGGCCUAUCAUUAUGUAUAUCCAUGGCAACAUCCCUAUAGAAAAAUCUAUGUUGUGUAUGCCUUUUGGUUAUGCUGUUUGGUGAGUUAUUGCUUCAGUGACCUAUGGGCACCCAUGGCCUUGAUAGGCUAGCAUGCACACAAAAAUGUGUCUUGGCUAUGCUGAGCUCAAGCCUGUGCCUAUGGCUGAUGCUACCCCAAAACCUGAAGGAAGUCCCUAAAUAGGGUAGUAGCUCCCUAGGGUGGUGCAAACAGAAGCUAUGGUCAUAGGCUAGGUCUUGCCAAGUGUCUCAGGUAUUUGGUUACCUCAUAGUCCUUUCCAACCACUGAAGGGGAGUGAGCUUGGGCAAACUGACCAUUAGUGCAAAUCUUGGUGGUAGUAGUAAUUAUUCAAAUGAAAACUUUAAAUGUUGAAGGAGGGAAAGGUUCCAUGUAAACAGCACUUGCACAUGGGUUAGUCGAUCCUAAGAGAUAAGGGAAGCCUAUUCGAUAGUGUGUCUAGCAUAAGCUUCAAAAAGUAAUCGGGUGAAAAUUCCUAAACCAAGAUACGAUGACUGACAGCAAGAUUAGGGAGUCCGAGACAUUGGGGGGCUUUAGAAAGAGUUAUCUUUUCUAUUUAACAACCUCCCUAACCUAAAAAUGGCUCAAUUGGAGGUAGGGUCUAGUGGCUAGAAGAACACUAUAUGUCACAUGGUGUCCACUAUGCCCCCGAUGGCCUUUGAAAAUCUGGAGGAUCAAGUGUUGUCCAUGCUCGUCAUAUUCAUAACCACAUAUGGUCUCCAAGGUGAAUAGCCUCUAGUUGAUGGAACAAUAUAGGUAAGGAAUGUUAGCAAAAUGGAUCCAUAACUUUGAGAAAAGGAUUGGCUUUGAGGGUUAGGCAUAGGGGUCCUAGUCUCAAACUUGUCGAUUGUCUAUACACUACUCAAGCCACUCCCAUAAUGAGAGUGAGUCACCGCAUGCUAGCCUAAGGAUAAACUAGGAAUGGCACCAUUGGGGGCUUUCCCUAGGUAAUGAAUUGUUAACUUAACAUUGGUAUGGACAAGGGGAAUCUAACUAUUUAAUUAAAACAAAUCAUAGUGAUGGUCCUUGUAGAUACUCAUGCAAUGUGAUUUUUGCCCAUUGCACUAAAUGUUAAAGUGAAAAAAUUCAACGAAGCAUAGGUAAACAGUAGGAGUAACUAUGACUCUCUGAAGGUAGCCAAAUGCCUUAUCAUCUUACUAUCAUGCAUGAUUGGAUUAACAAGAUUCCCACUAUCUCUAUCUACUAUCUAGCGAAGCCAUAGCCAAGGGAAUGGGCUCAACAAAAUCAACAAGGAAAGAAGACCCAGAUUAGCUUAACUCUAGUUUGACUUUGUGAAAUGACUUUAGGGAUGUAGGAUGAUAGGAACCAUCAAGCAAAAUUGAAAUACCAUUACUUUUAAUGUUAUUUUACUUAUUCUAUGAAUUAGAGGUAGGGCAAGAUCCCUUCUUUUGGCCCAAAGCUAGCCUCAAUCAAUCAAUCUGGGUGGAAAACAUUGUCUAGUGGAGAGUUUAGCUGUGGUAGCACAUCAGUUAAAAGAUAACACAGGUGUCCAAAAAUGAUCUCAAUGAGAACAAAAAUCUCAUGUCAAACAAAAGGGUAAAAGCUCAUUUGAUUUUGAGUUCUAGUAUGAAUACAAAACCAUGAAAGCAUGGCUUAUCAAUCCUUUAGACCUUUAAAAUUUAAAGCUAGAGAUGUCAGAAAAGUUACCAUAAGAUAACUGGCUUGUGGUAACCAAGCAUUCAUAGCGACGUUGCUUUUUGAUCCUUCGAUGUUGGCAACCAAGCAGAAUUCACCAAGUGUUAGAUUGUUCACCUACCAAUAGGGAUUGUGAGUUAGUUUUACACCAUCAUGAGAUAGGUUAGUCUUACACUACUGAUGGUAGUAUCACAAUAGUAAUUUAACCUAGUACGAGAAAAAUCAUUGAUUUGCAUAAUUGGUCAUCAUGCUUGGUUGAAAAGCUAGCGGCAUGAAGCUACCAUGUGCUAGAUUAUGACUGAACACCUUUAAGUCAUAAUUCAAGCUAGAAGUGAUGCACACAUCCAUCACCUUGUUAUCAACCCAUAGUAAAGGCCCAUGGCCCCCAAAGGCAUGUGUCAUAGGUGUAGCUCUCAUUGUGGACAAGCUACAUAGGCAUCUUUGGAGCUCAAUUCCCAUCGAGUGAUGGGUAGAUCCUUUAUAGAUGACUUAAAUAUGUGACGGGGUAUUUAAGUGGGAGAGUGGCCUUGCUACCAUGAUCUAUUGAGAUUUA
rnacentral:rRNA from 1 species